rnacentral:rRNA from 1 species
GUGUCAGCAGCCGCGGUAAUACGAAGGGGGCUAGCGUUGUUCGGAAUUACUGGGCGUAAAGCGUGCGCAGGCGGUUUUUCAAGUCAGAGGUGAAAGCCCCGGGCUCAACCCGGGAAUGGCCUUUGAGACUGGAUGGCUAGAGUGUGAGAGAGGUGAGUGGAAUUCCCAGUGUAGAGGUGAAAUUCGUAGAUAUUGGGAAGAACACCCGUGGCGAAGGCGGCUCACUGGCUCGCAACUGACGCUCAUGCACGACAGCGUGGGGAGCAAACAGGAUUAGAUACCCUGGUAGUCCACGCCGUAAACGAUGGAUGCUAGGUGCCGGCAGGCUUGCCUGUCGGUGCCGCAGCUAACGCCUUAAGCAUCCCGCCUGGGGAGUACGGCCGCAAGGUUAAA